GACAAAGGGUGCAAACGUUGUUCGGAAUUACUGGGCGUAAAGAGCUCGUAGGCGGUUUGUUGCGUCGGCUGUGAAAUCCCGAGGCUCAACCUCGGGUCUGCAGUCGAUACGAGCAAACUAGAGUGUUGCAGGGGAGACUGGAAUUCCUGGUGUAGCGGUGAAAUGCGCAGAUAUCAGGAGGAACACCGGUGGCGAAGGCGGGUCUCUGGGCAACAACUGACGCUGAGGAGCGAAAGCGUGGGGAGCGAACAGG
rnacentral:rRNA from 1 species